UGAACUCAUUUGCAAACGCCUUUAACCAAAUAAGGCCUGUUGAACGGUUAGGAUUUGAAUUAUAAAAUCACUGUUAAAUUACCUGAAGUGUACAGAUACAGAAUUUCUCAACAUUUUGUAAAAUAAAGAUGUUAUAUUGUCCAAUAUAUGAAGUUUAGGAUUAGUUAAUCACUUGAUGGAUGUUUAUAUUAUUUUCCUUCAAUUAAAGAGAGCGCCUUUAACCAAAACCAAAAGAAGCAAACUAACGUUAGUCAAAGUGUAACAGAUUCAAAAACUGUAUGUUCAUUAGUUUUUGGCUGGAUUCUUGAUCAGGAUUGGAAAUUCCUGCCCUAGGAUUCCUGCCUUGCUGAGGCUUAUUGGACCACCUGACACCCUGGUUGAGAACCACUAAGACGAGUGGGAAAUCAAAGACUGGAAUGCUGGGAGAACGCUGGGGAAACUGAUGGAGGGGUGAGCUCUGGAAAGGAGGACGGAUACUUCCUGUUCCUGCUGGAGUGACCCGCAGGUCUGAGGAGGAGUGAGGGAAAGAGAGGGCGGAGAAAGUGAGUGGUUUUGCAGUGAUUUGCUGCCAGCUUUACCUUUGGACAGGGUGAAUAAGUGAAACCGGAAGUGGCAGUGCCAGGUUCCCAGCUGAACUUGGCUGAGGUCAGUGUCCGGUCAAAUGGAGUCGGGCCUGUGCGUCUGUGGGGGGGCAGAUGAAGUGGUCAGCGGUGUGACAGUUAGCGGGGAUUCUGACAGCCCCAGCUCCAGUGUGGAUUAGAGAUUUAUCCAAACCGGAAACAAAAUAAAACUAUGGUUGGCUAUCGCUCAUGUCGUUCCGAUGGCCUCUACCUGUCUAAGUGGGAGCUUCUUCGCCAGAACAAGCUACAAUGGACUAGACCUUACAUUUCUCCGGAGCAGGGCGACACAGAUCCACUGAUUGCUGGAGUUUGGAUCAGAGCACAGGAAGAAGUCGAGCUAAGCAGUCACGAGCAGAGAACAUUCAGCUCCUCUAUCAUCCGCCAAACACUUGACCCACAGUAACUCCGCUUUGACAGAGCAUCACAGCUUUUCUAUGUGCCGAUGUGUGCGAUGCCAGGAAAGGUCAGGAGAUGAUUUACUGAACAUUUAUGGAGGCUUUAUCUUCAGUCCUUGUCACCAAGUCGGGCAAUGCUUCAUAGAGGGUCACCAAACAGACGUGGAAAAAGAGAGAGCAUGACAACGCUACAACCGCAAUGACACAGUCUUUAACCAGUCCAACUCUUGGCAGGUACAGAACACUAAAGGACCAUUUUAUUUCUAAAUGAGUCUGAAUGGCGCACCACAAAGACUGGAAAUGCUGCUGCCCUUUCAUUUUAAAUGGCUAUCGGGUUCAUCCUACAAAUAAAACUCAUCACAGAAAAUGAAUAUAAGCGGUUGGAGAAGAGACAGGAGAUGUGAACUGUCCCUCUGGAACGGGCUGCCAUUAAGUUUACUAAAAAUGUCUGAUGGUUUCGCCCAGACAGUUAGGAGAGCUGUGUCUGAACGGGAUCCAAAUCUCUGACAGCAUCAGCCCAGGAGAACAAACAGCAGAGGAAAGAGUAUAGAUUACUCCAUCAGCGACCAGUUCUUUGAUAGCUUCUGUGCGUUUUGGGCUGAGGCUGCUCUCCGUUCUCCUUGUAUCCCUCAGCACUUUUGAUAGGCUGAAAGCAGCUGCACUAAAGCAAGAUAAAGCUGCACCAUCAGGAUGAUGAAGAGUGUGGAUGGAGAGGCGCUGUGCCGAGCACAAAGGCCGCGGAGGAGCGGCGACGGUGGCGUGAGGACAGCUGAAGAAUGCCACAAUGAAUAGCUCUCAUUUGUGAAUAUACAGAUCUGGGUGGAGGAGGGCGAGGACCUGGGGGGAAAAAAAUUACAGGUCAUAGUAAAUAAAGUUUGGAGAAUAUACUGUACAAUAGAAGAUAACAACAAACAUAGAGAUGUAAGUGCGCGGACAUGGGUGACAAAAACUAUGCUCGGAUGCUUUAUCUCAAAGGGUUGAUUUAUUAAAGUAAUGAUCUACUCUUGGGGUCUCAGGUUUGGCUUACCAGGAUCUGGAUAAUCUGGGAACAUGUUACAUGGAGGCACCUGCUUAAUUUCAAUUGCAUGCCAUGCUGGAACCUUGUUUAAUAUGGUAUGAAAAUGGCUGUGAUCAAUAUGUAGCUUGUUGUUGCAGUCUCUUUACCAUAUAAAAUUGUUCAAAGCUUGUAUACUCCCUUUCCCUGUUUUGUCUCUCCCCCCUCUUUUCUGUUUCUCAGCCUGUUCUGUUUUUCAAGAGGUCUGGAAUAUUAAGCUGUGACCCCCCGUUGUCCCUUUCCCCUCCUCGGCUCUCUCCGUGUCCUCUUUAGCUUGAACAAAACCCAUUUGCUCCAGUACAGCAGGAGGAAUGGUAUUCAGGUGGUCCCCUCCUUCUCCUCAUGCAGCCCUCUGCCCAAUCAAUAGAGAUGUAAAUAAGUUCAGACAGUUGCCAGACCUUUGUCUACGUCUUAGGUUUGAGAGGCAUCACAAGGAUCUAUUUUGGUCGGACUGAGAUUUUUAAUCUGUUUAGUUUCAGUGUUCGGGGAGAAACAACACAAUCUUUAGGACUAAAUAGCCUGGAUUACCAGUCACACUUGAAGUUUGAUCUCUUUUUUGAGUAAGAUGACAACAGACUUAGUUUCAUGGGUGUAUUCACUGUGGGUUUCUGACUCAUACGAACUGUGAGUUCAGGUCAGGUGGCAUUAUACUGAGAAUCUCAGACAAGAUAUACUAUUUGUUUGUUUGUUUUGUUUUGUUUAGGUUUGAAAAAAUAAGAGAUCUGGUUGUGAAAUAUAUAUAUAUACAUCCAGAUGUGUCUGUGUGGUUGGUUUGUCUCUGUAACCAGUGGUUCACAACGCCAAGUGUGACUGAUAUGCAGUCACACAGAUGUUGCUGGAGUUUGCGACUCCAAUUAGAAGAACUACAACUUCUGCCUUGUGUAGAUCUUUAGCUGCAUUUGUCAGUCAAACAUGGGGCAGCAGGCAAUCGUUCAUCUGGAUCUUUUAUUCUCACUCCUCUCCCAUGCAGUUACAGGGCAAAAGGGAAAAGGAGGAGCCAAAAUGGGAAAUUGCAUUGACCAAUGCCAUCAUGACAAUUAAAGGGGAAAGUCCAAGUUGUUAAUUCCAAGUCUGAAGUUCAUUUAGGGUUCAUCAUACUCUAUCCAGUGUUUAAAAAAAAAAUAUGAUGUCUUCCAUCAUCCUUCCUCAUAGUUCACAAAAUAAAAAUACCUGAAAAUAUAAAAUAUCUGAAAAUACCAUGUAGACACCAGCUUUUUUCCAAAUAACAUGUCAUUCCCAUAGGAGUCUGAAUACACACACACUCUUACAUAUUAGCAUGCUAAUGUACCAAACCCAUAUUUAGGAGAGCAAAGGUUAAAGGUAAAAUUCACCCAAUAACAACAUUGGACUCUGUUGAUGUUUACUGUAUGGACAUUUUCCAAAAUAUCUCUCAAGUCAUAUAGGUUUGGAAUGACAUGAAGGUGGGUAAAUGAUGACAGAAAUUUCAUUUUUGGGGCACAAUGAUAUAAUUUGUUAAAAAAUUAGUUGCUACAACAAAGAAAUGCCAUUUAAUUGCAGUUGAAUACUACUGAAGUAACUAAAGUAGAGUGUAAGUAAAUGUAUUACUCUGUACUAAACAUCUUUGGUUACAAAUUAUUCAGUGCGAUAAUUAAACAUUAGAAAGAAACUCUAAUUGUUUUCUGAUUUGAAUGGACAUUCUGUUUGGUGCGAU